rnacentral:rRNA from 1 species
GAGGUAACGGCUCACCAAGGCGACGAUCAGUAGCCGGCCUGAGAGGGCGAACGGCCACACUGGAACUGAGACACGGUCCAGACUCCUACGGGAGGCAGCAGUGGGGAAUUUUGCGCAAUGGGCGGAAGCCUGACGCAGCAACGCCGCGUGGAGGAUGAAGGCCUUCGGGUCGUAAACUCCUGUCAGUGGGGACGAAUGCCUCGCAAGAGGUUUGACUGUACCCGUUGAGGAAGCCACGGCUAACUCCGUGCCAGCAGCCGCGGUAAUACGGAGGUGGCAAGCGUUGUUCGGAAUUACUGGGCGUAAAGGGCGCGUAGGCGGCUAGGCAAGUCAGGUGUGAAAGCCCCGGGCUUAACUCGGGAAUUGCACCUGAAACUGCCUUGCUUGAGUCCUGGAGGGGGUAGCGGAAUUCCCAGUGUAGCGGUGAAAUGCGUAGAUAUUGGGAGGAACACCUGCGGCGAAGGCGGCUACCUGGACAGUGACUGACGCUGAGGCGCGAAAGCUAGGGUAGCGAACGGGAUUAGAUACCCCGGUAGUCCUAGCCGUAAACGAUGGGCACUUGGUGUUGGGGGUAUUGAGUCCCUCAGUGCCGGAGUUAACGCAUUA